rnacentral:hammerhead_ribozyme from 1 species
AUCCAUCUGACGAUUCUCAAAUAGGGCGAAACGCACGUCCAACUGGAU